UCAUAAUUCGGAGUGUUGUCCUUCCUUCAAUUUGCGAUCCACACAUAUUUGGUGAUAUUUUUCGUUUUGUAUUUAUCUCAGAUUGCUUCGCAUGUUUUUAUUGUUGUUAUGAAAGCUCCUGUAGUGCUUCCAACAAUAUUUUCACCAUCUAGCAAGGAACGUGCAAUUCUUCUUUCAUAUAUGUAGAAUUGUAUUUUCAGUUUGGAUCCACAUGAUUGUCCAAAUUAUUUUAAAGGCUACAAUUUAAAAUUUUA